rnacentral:lncRNA from 1 species
GGAGUCCCGCUUCCCCUGGACCGGAGGCUGCCAUCUCCAGUCCUACCCACUCCGACGCUGGCUGGUGCCGGGGGCCGGGACGCUCCGUACGCCGCCCGCCAGGGUGUGGAGCCGCACUGGGGCAAGAUCAGGUGGGACAGCCCAAAGACUCCGGGCCAAGUUCCUGGGGGACUCGGCGGAGAUGGAAGAUGAUUCUCGAAGCUCUCCAUUUCCUUAAUUUUGAGUUAUCUUCAGUCCUUCUUCAAUGCUGUGACUGAGUGCUUGCUGAUUAUUGUGCUUGCUGAUCCUGACUAAUACUCUCUCUUGAUGAGCUUCAUAUUCAUCACGACUUGGAUAAAUUUUGCUGAUGAGUGCAUCAAACUUUGGGUCUGGCCUUGGUGAUCUUUUGGAAACUAGUUUUUUCCAACAGGUUUCCCAUUUCCCUAAACAUGGAAACAGAAGACCUCCUAGGACGUCUCCAUUGCGGGAGGGAGACUGCAGAGGUCUCCGGCCACAGGACUGAGGAAAACCGCAAAAAGACGCGGUCACUACUAGGCGGAGUUAAACUAUGGAGCCGGUACCCCCAAUACCCUGCCCGGCAAGGCCGCCUCGUGACGUCCCCGUCUGACAGAGUCCCUCCCCAUAGGGCCGCGACAGAACCACCGCACGAUGGGACACGCGAGGAAGGGGGCUCCGGGCCCCAUCCCCAGGGAGCAAGAAGACGCAGAGGACCGCGCCGGUUCAGGUGCCGCUGGAGAAAUGGAAUCUGACGGAGAAACUGAUCUGGGGCGGCAGCCCGCUAGGUUCGCCUGACUCACUAAAUGCUACUACAGUGCCCCACACGGACUGCCACGAGCGGGUCACGUGACUGGACUCUGGAUCGGCUGUGCUGUGAUGGCCGCGUAGCGCGCUGCUGUGCGCGCGAGACUAUAAGCCUCUGGGCCGCCGGUGCCUCCGCGCGGUCACCGCCUCCACCCGCCUGGCCGCUUCCCUCGGCGCAUGCGUAGCACACCGACUCCAGGAUUGUUUCCCAAAUCCCACUUCCGCCACUUCCUCCUCCCGAGACCAGCCAAGCGCGCCUGGCUGUCUGCCCUUCUUGGGCUCUUGGGGAGAACGUGGUCCGGGAACUGGCAGUCACGGGGAGGCAGCACAAGAGGUUUUCGCCCUCAUGUGCUGGUGCAACUAUCGCGACCAUCACCCUGAGAACUGGAGGAAGGGUGCCGCAGGCAAAGAGUGGCGCGCCUGCAGAUUCGGUUCCGCGCUUGGGGCUCUCGCGAGACCCGGCGCUGGAGUGUGGACCGCGCGUGCCGGUGACGCGUGGUGCAGACACGUCGCCGGUGCCUCUCUCCCUAGGCCUUCCUGGGGGUGAGCUUCCGUCCCAGACGUCUUCGGUCCUACACUGCUUCCAUUUCUUUUUUUUUUUUUUCCUUCUUUUUUUCUUUGAGACAGGGGCUCAUUCUAUCACCCAGGCUGGAGUGCAGCGGCGCGAUCUCGGCCCACCGUAAGCUCCGCCUCCCGGGCUCAAGCGAUCCUCCCACUUCAGCCUCCUGAGUAGCUGGGACUCCAGGUGAGCGCCCUGCUAAUUUUAUAUUUUUGGUAGAGACGGGGUUUCGCCAUGUUGCCCAGGCUGGUCUCAACUCCUGGUCUCAAGUGAUCCGCCUGCCUUGGCCUUCCAAAGUGCUGGGCUUACAGGCGGGAGCCACUGCACCCAGCCCUACGCCCCAUCUUUCUGGGUUUCUGCCUGGUAUUGUUACAUCUCCAACAGGCUUAACUCAAAGCUGACUUUCCGCCUGUGCUGUAUCUGCCCCAUGGUCCUUUAGAGUAUAUAAAAUAUAAAUGGCACUUUGGGAGGCCGAGGCAGGAGGAUUGCUUGAGCUCAGGAGUUACUGACCAGCCUGGGCAACAUAGUGAGACCCCCGUCUCAUUAAAAAAUAAUAAUGCAGGCAGGGCGCAGUGGCUCAUGCCUGUAAACCGAGCACUUUCGGAGGCCAAGGUGGGCGGAUCGCCUGAGAUUGGGAGUUCGAGACCAGCCUGACCAACAUGGAGAAACCCCAUCUCUACUAAAAAUACAAAAUUAGUUGGGCGUGGUGGUGCGUGCCUGUAAUCCCAGCUAUUCAGGAGGCUGAGGCAGGAGAAUCGCUUGAACCCGGGAGACGGAGCUUACAGUGAGUCGAGAUGAGCCACUGCACUCCAGCCUGGGCAACAAGAGCGAAACUCCAUCUCAAAUAAUAAUAAUAAUACAAAUAAAUAAAUGUACACACACAAAUAAAUGGACUUGAUAGCGAUUUUUUUAGGUUUUCAGCUGCCCAAUUCAAGAAAUGUAUUUCUUCUUGUCCCUGAUUUCCGUCACUGUCCCAAGGCAGUGGGAUUAAAGCACCACUACCGUUUUUAGAUCCUUGUGUUUGGCAUUCCAUGUCCUCCUCUCAAGACGUUUGACGUAACUUUCUCCAUCUGCUCUGUUGAAACAUAUGCUUCAAAAUCUUUUUUUUUUUUUUUUUGAGACGGAGUCUCGCUCUGUUGCCCAGGCUGGAGUGCAGUGGCGCGAUCUCGGCUCACUGCAAGCUCCGCCUCCCGGGUUCAAGUGAUUCUCCUGCCUCAGCCUCCCAAGUAGCUAGGACUACAGGCGCCCGCCACCAAGCCCGGCUAAUUUUUUGUAUUUUUAGUAGAGACGGGGUUUCACCGUGUUAGCCAGGAUGGUCUCGAUCUCCUGACCUCGUGAUCCACCUGCCUCGGCCUCCCAAAUUGUUGGGAUUACAGGCGUGAGCCACUGCACCCAGCCUACCAGCCUAGACCUAGUUUUAGUUCCUUUUUUUGCUUCACUCCAUUGUAGCUUAGGAAGCUAGUUUCAAUUCCGGAUUCUACCGUCUAUCUGUAUGACUGGGCCUUUGGUCAGUCUUUCUAAAAUGAAGAUUGCUCAUUUUACAAAUGAGUAAAAACUACCUGACAUGUAGUGCAGGCUUUGUAAAGCACUCAUCAUGCUGCUUGUCAUACUGUAAGCACUGAUAUGGCAUAGGAAACCCAACCCCCAAACAUAGCACCUUGGAAGUUGAGAAAACAGCAUAUACUGGAAGGCCACUGUCACAUCUCCCUCACCCGUCUCUGAAGCAGGCCAUAAAGCCUAGGAAGGUCAUCCUCUUAUCUCUCUUGAAAACCCUCAUGUGGCAGGUGUCCUGCCCUAUAUCAGGGUGGAAGGAAUGUCACACAGGGACACCAAGAAUAAUCUGAACAAACAGGUCUUGCUAAUCUCAUGCCCCCAAUUUAUUACCGUGAGAUCAUACCCGCUUUGUUCAAUCAUACUUCUGCACAACUAUCCACUUUCUCAAACCUAUGCAUAAAAGUACACAGACUUUUCUUUGGGUCAUUUCCUUAGGAAGACUCCCCAUCAUGUAAAACUUAUAUUACACAAAUUUGUAUGCUUUUCUCUUGUUAAUCUGUAUUUUGUUAUAGGAGUCUCAGCCAUGAACCUUACCAUGGUUAAGGAAAACUUGCUUUUUCUUCUCUACACACUCAAAUAAAUUAGUUUGCCUCCUUUUCCAUGCUUACCCAAUAUAAAAUAGUAAAAUGCCUCUUUUUUUUUUUUUUUUUUUUUUUUUCUGAGAGGGAGUCUCGCUCUGUUGCCCAGGCUGGAGUGCAGUGGCGCGAUCUCGGCUCACUGCAACCUCCGCCUCCCAGGUUCAAGCAAUUCUCCAGCCUCAGCCUCCUGAGUAGCUCGGAUUAUAGGUGCCUGCCACCACGCGUGGCUAAUUUUUGUAUUUUUAGUAGAGAAAGGGUUUCGCCAUAAUGGUCAGGCUGGUCUCGAAUUCCUGACCUGAGGUGAUCCACCCAUCUUGACCUCCCAAAGUGCUGGGAUUGCAAGCGUGAGCCACUGCGCCCGGCCUAAAAUGCCUCUUAGUAAGACUUAAUUUCUGUCCAGGCAUGGUGGUUCAUGCCUGUAACCCCAACACUUUGGGAGGCCGAGGCGGGUGGAUCACCUGAGGUCAGGAGUUCGAGACCAGCCUGGCCAACAUGGUGAAACCCCAUCUCUAAUAAAAAUACAAAAAGCAUUAGCCGGGCAUGGUGGCGGUGCCUGUAAUCCCAGCUACUCGGGUGGCUGAGGCAUGAGAAUCACUUGAAUCCGGGAGGUGGAGGUUGCAGUGAGCUGAGAUGGCGCCACUGCACUCAAGCCUGGGUGACACAGCAAAAAUCUGCCUCAAAAAAACAAAAUAAAAAAUGAGAAAAAAUACUUAAUUUGUGCUGUGCCACCAAAAAAUGUGCAUGCUAGAAACUGUACUUUACACUAUGACAUUUUAUGUAACUGUCUUAUUUCCCCCAUGAGACUGCAGUGGUCUCAAGGGUAGAGGAUUGACCUUGUCCAUAUGUGUUUUCUAGGCUUCCAUCAUUUGCCACAGACUGAGACAUGUACUAAGUUGUACGCCGUAAAUACUUCAUAAAUAGUUACUGAAGGCAUAAAUAGGCAGAGAGUAGAGUUUGUUUGUUUGUUUGUUUGCUUACAAAAAAAGGGAAAAGAAAGCAAAUGCUGAAAAAACUUGCUGUUAAACCAUGCACGCACGACAUGAGGUCUUUGUAAUUGGUUCAGGAAGAUUUCCUUCUCCCCAUGCUCCACCCUCUUCAUUACAAAGAUGAAAUUAUUUUUAUGUUUAAUAUUUAUUUAUUUAUUGAGACGGAGUUUUGCUCUUGUUGCCCAGUCUGGAGUGCAAUGGCAUGAUCUCAGUUCACUGCAACCUCCAUCUCCUGGGUUCAAGCGAUUCUCCUGCCUUAGCCUCCCAAGUAGCUAGGAUUAUAGGCAUGCGCCACCAUGCUCAGAUAAUUUUGUAUUUUUAGUAGAGAUGGGGUUUAGCCAUGUUGGUCAGGCUGGUCUCGAACUCCUGACCUCAGGUGAUCCGCCCGCCUUUGCCUUCCCAAAGUGUUGGGGUUAUAGGUGUGAGCCACUGCAUCUAGCCUUUUUUUUUUCUUUUUUUCUUUUGAGACAGAGUCUCACUCUGUUGCCCAGGCUGGAGUGCAGUGUCAUGUGAUCUUCGCUCACUGCAACCUCCUCCUCCCAGGUUCAAGUAGUUCUUCUGUCUCAGCCUCCUGAGUAGCUGGGACUACAGGCACCCGCCACCACACUCAGCUAAUUUUUUGUAUUUUUAGUAAAGACAGGGUUUCACCAUAUCGGUCAGGCUGGUCUUGAACUCCUGACCUCAGGUGAUCCACCCGCCUCAGCCUCCCAAAGUGCUGGGAUUAUAGGCUUGAGCCACCACGCCCAGCCAUGGCCUAUUAUUAUUAUUAUUAUUAUUAUUAUUACUAUUAUUAUUAUUAUUAUUAUUAUUUUGUGACAGAGUCUUGCUCUGUUGCCAGGCUGGAGUGCAGUGGUGCUAUCUUGGCUCACUGCAACCUCCACCUCCCAGGUACAAGCGAUUCUGCUGCCUCAGCCUUCUGAGUAGCUGGGAUUAUAGGCGCGCGCCACGACACCCAGCUAAUUUUUGUAUUUUUAGUAGAGACGAGGUUUCACCAUGUUGGCCAGGAUGGUCUCAAUCUCUUGACCUCAUGAUCCGCCUGCCUUGGCAUCCCAAAGUGCUGAGAUUACAGCCAUAUAUUUAUUAUUAUUAUUAUUAUUAUUAUUAUUUUGAGACAGGUUCUUGCUCUGUCACCCAGCCUGGAGUGCAGUGGCAUGAUCUUGGCUCACUGCAACCUCUGCCUCCUGGGAUCAAGCAAUUCUCUUGCUUUAGCCUCCCGAGUAGCUGGGAUUACAGGCACACAACACCACACCUGCCUAAUUCUUCUACGUUUUGUAGAGAUGGAGUCUCGCCAUGUUGCCCAGCCUGGUCUUGAAUUCCUGGCUUCAAGUGAUCCUCUAGCCUCAGCCUCCCAAAUUGCUGGGAUUACAAGGAUGAGCCAAUGCACCCAGCCUGUGUUUAUUCUUUUAAAUGAUAGUAAAGUACAAUAGAGGGAGAGAAUUGCAGGUUAUAUUUUUUGUUUGUUUCUCUGUUUUUUAUUUAAUGUCUCCCCAGAAACCUCCAUAGGUGCUUCACUUUCUAGUUUAGUUCCUGCUAAUUUUAAUAGCUCAAAUGUUACCCUAUCAGGGGUGUCAGUGGGAGAGCCCUGCGGAAGUGGAGUUCCCUGAGGAGGAAAGUUUCUACAUUCAGAAAAGACUUGGCUUGGGUUUUGUCGGGAGGUAAAAAUGGGUCAGUGACUCAGAAAAGCUUGCCUAAAAGCUGACAUCUAGUGUUCAUUUCUGAAAAUAUGUCCUGACAUACUAACCCUGAGAUUUUCUAUCCCAAGAACUGUUUUUAUUGAUUUUAUUGUUACGCACCAGAUUUCAAGACCAUUUGACUACCCAAAGAAACACAACUUAGAAAAUAAUUAUGGUUUUCACUUUGUUUUAAUCACAAUACAUAUAAUACUGCCAAAACAGGACUUUGGAUCAACAGACAUAAUAGCAAUUAUUAUUAUUUUAUUUUACUUAUUAUUAUUAUUUUUGAGACGGAGUGUCACUCUAUUGCCCAAGCUGGAGUGCAGUGGCAGGAUCUUGGCUGACUGCAACCUCCGCCUCUCGGGUUCAAGCGAUUCUCCUGCCUCAGCCUCCCAGGUAGCUGGGAUUACAGGCAUGCGCCACCAGGCCUGGCUAAGUUUGUAUUUUUAGUAGAGAUGGGGUUUCACCAUGUUGGCCAGGCUGGUCUCGAACUCCUGACCUCAGGUGAUUCACCUGCCUCGGCCUCCCAAAGUGCUGGGAUUACAGGCGUGAGCCACUGCACCUGGCCAGCAAUUAUUUUAUUUAUUUGAGAUAGAAUCUCACUUUGUUGCCCAGGUCUGACUUUGCAGUGGCACAAGCAUGGCUCACCACAGUCUAGAUCUCCUGGGCUCAAGCAGUCCUCCCGCCUCAGCCUCCCUAGUAGCUGAUACCAUAGGCCUGCACCAUCGUGGCCAGCUUUUAAAAUUUAUUUUUGUAGAGACAGGGUCUCACUGUGCUGCCCAGGCUGGUCUCAAAUUCCCAAACUCAAAGGAUCGUCCUGCCUCAGCCACCUAAAGUGCUGGGAUUACAAGCAUGUGCCACCUUGCCUGACUCCAGUUGAUUUUUCAUUUUUAUUUUUAUUUUAUGUUUUGGGAAGGGUCUUGCUUUGUUGCCCAGGGUGGAGUGCACUUGUGCAAUCUCAGCUCCCCGCAGCCUUGACCUCCUGGGCCCGGGCAAUCCUCCCACCUCAACCUCCCAAAUAGCUGGGACUACAGGUACAUGCCACCAUGCUGGCUAAUUUUUAAUUUUCUGUAAAAACAGGAGUCUCACAGCCCAGCAUGGUGGCUCACGCCUGUAAUCCUAGUACUUUGGGAGGCUAGGGCAGGAGGACCACUUGAGACCAGCCUGGGCAACAGAGUGGGACCCCUCUCUCUUUUUAAAAUUAUUUUUUAUCUUUUUUUUUUUUUUUUUUUUAAACAGGGUCUUGUUCUGUCACCCAGGCUGGAGUGCAGUGGUGUGAUCUCAGCUCAGUGCAGCCUCAACUGCCAGGGCUCAAGUGAUCCUCCCAACUCAGCCUCCCGCAUAGCUGGGACUACAGGUGUGUGCCGCCAUGCCUGGCUAAUUUUUAAUUUUUUUUGUAGGGAUGGAGUUUCACCAUGUUGCCCAGUCUGGUCUGGAACUCCUGGGCUCAAGCUAUCCACCCAUCUCAGUCUCCUAAAGUGCUGGGACUACAGGCGUGAGCAACUGCACCUGGCUGAUCCAUCAUUUUUAAUAGUGAGAUAUUUGAAAUUUACUCUUCUAGUUAUUUUGAAAGAGAAACUAUGGCUGGGCAUGAUGGCUUAUGCCUACAAUCCCGCGCUUUGGGAGGCCAAGGCGGGUGGAUCAUCUGAGGUCAGGAGUUCUAGACCAGCCUGGCCAACAUAGUGAAACCCCUUCUCUACUAAAAAUACAAAAAUUAGCCGGGCGUGGUGGCGGGCGCCUGUAAUCCCAGCUACUUGGGGGGGCCGAGGCAGGAGAAUCGCUUGAAGCUGGGAGGCGGGAGGUUGCAGUGAGCCGAGAUCACGCCACUGCACUCCAGCCUGGGUGACAGAGUGAGACUCCAUCUCAGAAAAAAAAAAAAAAGAGAAACUACAUCGUUAUUAUUAUUUUGUUGUUGUUGUUGGUUUUGGCCAAACUUUUUAUUUAGUAUGCUGUAGUUGUUUAACACACACUUAAAUGGUCUUAUUGGGGGAGGGGAAAGGAGAGGUUCCUGCAGAUUCCCAAACAAAUGUCAGAAAGGCAAAAUAGCCAGCAUUCUCCAUUUGCUUUUUUGGGUUUACUGGGUGAAUAGCACUUCCCUUACAUAGGCAUCUGAUUUCAGGUUUUUCAUACUGAGAACAUUGAGAUUUCAGCUGGAAGACACCCUGAAAUCUUCUGAGUAGCAUACCUCAACCACCCUCUAAUAACUGACUUGUUUGUAUAGGCAGAACGAUUCAUCUCUCCAUUUUAGAUGGCUAGAUAAAACUACAUCAUUAUUGAUUAUAGUCACUCUAUUGUGCAGUAAAUCUCAAAGCCUUCUAUCUGAAAUUUUGCACCCUUUGAUUAACAAUUCCCCAUUCUCCUCGUCUCCACUCUCCCCAGCCUCUGGUAGCCAUCAUUCUACUAUCUGCUGCUAUGAAUUUGACAUGUUUGGAUUCCACAUAUAAGUGAGAUCAUGUAGUAUUUGUCUUUCUAUACCUGGCUUAUUUCACUUAGCAUAAUGUUUUCCAGAUUCAUCCAUCUUGUCACAAAUGAUGGUAUUUACCUACAUUUUUGUUUUUGGAGACAGGGUCUCACUUUGUUGUCCAGGUUGGAGUGCAGUGGUACAAACACAGCUCACUGCAACCUCAACCUUGACCAGGCUCAAGUGAUCCUCUCACCUCAGCCCCCCAAGUAGCUGGGACUACAGGCGUGAACCACCACACCCUGCUAAUUUUUUUUUGUUUUUGAUACGGAGCCUCACUCUGUCACCAGGAUGGAGUACAGUGGUGCCAUCUUGUCUCACUGCAACCUCUGCCUCCCAGGUUCAAGCAAUUCUCCUGCCUCAGCCUCCUGAGUAGCUGGGAUUACAGGUGCACACCACCACGGUCAGCUAAUUUUUGUAUUUUUAGUAGAGACAGGGUUUAACCAUGUUGGCCAGGAUGGUCUCAAUCUCUUGCCCUCGUGAUCCUCCCGCCUCAGCCUCCCAAAGUGCUGGGAUUACAGGCAUGAACCACCGUGCCCGGCCUGGACUUUUUUCUUUUUUUUGAGACAGGGUCUCACUAUGUUGCUCAGGCUGGAGUGCAGUGGCGCAGUCUCAGCUCACCGCAACCUCUGCCUCCCAGGUUCAAGCGAUUCUCCUGUUUCAGUCUCCCAAGAAGCUUGGGAUUACAGGUGCCUGCCACCAUGCCCAGUUAAUUUUUGUAUUUUUAGUAGAGACAGGGUUUCACCACAUUGGCCAGGCUGGUCUUGAACUCCUGACCUCAGGUGAUCUGCCUGCCUCAGCCUUCCAAAGUGCUGGGAUUACAUGCUUGAGCCAACGCGCCUAGCCAAAAAGGACUUCUAUAGGAAGGACAAAUAGGUUUCUCUAAAAAAGACAAAUGUGUUUUUAGAAGAACAAAUGGGAGACAUGCAAACAUUAUCACAAACCAAACUUUCUUAUAUAGGUGUGAGUGGUCUUUUUCAGGUUCAUAAAACUGCCAGAGAGGGGAUUUAUGGUAGGUUUAUUCUGGGUCUCUCCCCUGGGAGUAGAAGCCACCCCAAACAGGAAAUUUAUGUCCGUCCUCAUUUCUCAGAAGUUUCUACUUUUAAUCAAAUAAGGGAAGUCCCAAGGAAGCUUCUUUCUGCAUCUGUUCCAUCUCAAAUGUCUUCAGCUUAAAAUAAUCUUUAUACUAACUCCAGUGUUCUGAGUGGGACCCCACAAUUGUAUAUUUAAUCACCUUGUGAAACUUGACAAGUAUUUAACCCAACAUUUUCUGAUUUGGAAUAUUUUAGAGAAUGUGAUUCAUUAAUAAAUCAUUUAUCAAAAAAAGAGAUCAUUGGUUUGACAGUGCUGGGCUUACAGGCAUGGGCCACCAUGCCCGGCCAGCAGUAUGUAUUUUAGUUGACUGGCAAACAGACAAUUGUUCCCUUUUUUCCUUUUUUAAAUUUCAAGCCUUGUCACUGUGUCAUAAGACAAUUGUUCAUGAUGUCAUAAAUGUAAUUUUUACUUCAAUAAACUAUAAUACACUUGUAACAUUCCAGGCUCUUUUUAUUGUGUGUGUGUGUGUGUGUUCUUUUUUAAAUUUUUAAUUAUUGGCUGGGCACAGUGUCUCAUGCCUGUAAUCCUAGCACUUUGGGACGCCAAAGCAGGUGAAUCACUUGAG